rnacentral:rRNA from 1 species
AGUAACGCGUGGAUAACCUGCCUCACACAGGGGGAUAACAGUUGGAAACGGCUGCUAAUACCGCAUAAGCGCACAGUGCCGCAUGGCACGGUGCGAAAAGCUCCGGCGGUGUGAGAUGGAUCCGCGUCUGAUUAGCCAGUUGGCGGGGUAACGGCCCACCAAAGCGACGAUCAGUAGCCGGCCUGAGAGGGCGACCGGCCACAUUGGGACUGAGACACGGCCCAG